GUUCCACACCUCGGGAUUGUGUCCUUUUGCCUGCAAUUCCGGGAAAAGACUCCAACUCAGGCUAAGAAUCGGCUGUGGUUUAAAUAGUAGGAAGAGCUCCGAGGGUGGGAAUGGAGUUGGGCGGACGGAGCGGUCAUCUUAACAGCACGUUCUCCCUCUGCGGGAAGCCGGCUGGGCUCUCUCACUCUUGUUUCCUGGCACGUAAGGGAGCAUGUGCCAAAGCGACUUCCUUUGCCAACAGCAAGCCGGGGAUGGGGCUCACGGGUGGAAAUUCAUGGUUGUUAAGAAGGAGACGAUGGCCAGGGGAGGGGGUCCCUGACCCCAUCCAUGGGCAGAUCCCAUAGCCUUUUAUUUAUCCACGAGACCCUCAUGGUGACUUUCCACGAGCAACAGCAAACCAAAUGUGCUUCUGGAAGAGGGAGGGCCAGUGAGCCUCUGGAAGGUUGCUUGUGUUUCUCCACACCCAAGGCUAGACGUGCAACACACACACACACACACAUACACACACUUUAAGCAAACAUUGGACUAAGGCAAAGCAGGACAGCACCUCUGUUUAGGAAAGAGUGAGGAAAUGUCAGUUCUCUUUGUUAUCUGAGAUCAGGAUAGACAGUUCUAGAGCACUGUCCUUCCUGUCAAACUACAGAACUUAAAACUCCAGCUGGGCACCGUGGCUCAUGCCUGUGAUCCCAGCACUUUGGGAUGCCGAGGUGGGAGGAUGGCUUGAGGCCAGGAGUUUGAGACCAACCUGGGCAACACAGCAAGACUCCAUCUCUACAAAAAGUAAAAUUAGGUGGACAUGGUGAUGUCCAGCUGUAGUCUCAGCUACUGGGGAGGCUGCGGCAGGAGGAUCACUUGAGUCCAAGGGUUCGAGGUUGCUGUGAGGUGUGAUUGUGCCACUGCACUGCAGCCUUGGUGACAGAGAUCCUGUCACCAAAAAAAAAAAAAAAAAAAAAAGAAACUUACCAAACCAGACCACAAAUGUUCCACUUUGUGUGCAGAAUUUCCAUAAUGCCACCCACACUUCCCAGUGCCUCACCCCUUCCUCCUCCCUCUUUUUCUUCCUCCUCAGCCCCACUCUCUCCAGUUCUUAUGCCUGGAGGAUGCUUGCUGCUGCUUGAAAAAGUCAUCUGCGGUUCUCCCACCCUGGUUAUGGGUUCUUUAAAAAUAAAUUUAAGUUGGUUCACCCCUGUAAUCACAGCACUUUAGGAGGCUGAGGUGGGCAGAUAAUGAGGUCAGGAGUUUGAGACCAGCCUGACCAACACGGUGAAACCCCGUUUCUAAUAAAAAUACAAAAAUUAGCCGGGCAUGGUAGCGCAUGCCUAUAAUCCCAGCUACUCUGGAGGCUGAGGAAGGAGAAUUGCUUGAACCUGGGAGGUGGAGGUUACAGUGAGCCAAAAGGAAGGAAGGAAGGAAGAAGGGAAGAAAUUAAUUUAAGUCUGAAGUUGUAAUAUCCUGUGUUCUGUAUUAUUUUAUGUGAUUAUGGGUAUUUCACAGAAUGGGAAGUAUUCAGGGCUUUAAUCUGAAGACAGCUUACCAUGGUACCUACAAUGCACUGAAUUAACGUUGGGGUAUCCAGGCCAUUAUUGUACUUAGUGAGAUCCACCUCACCGAAUUUCUGGAUACCCAGAAAAGGUGAUUAAUUUAGAAUUAAUUUCAAAAACAGAAUUGUGCCCACUCUACCACAUGUGCAUAAUUCCUUUUAGAUAUUAAGGAAACACUUUAUCCAUAAUCCAAACCAGUCUCAAAGUUAGAUCAAUGAAGACAGCAAGCACUUCAGCUUGGCCAGUGAGCUAACAGGAUGAAAAAUGCAGCCAACCCUAUGAAGGCUAAAGCAUGUUUUUUUAUUUGUUUUUUUUUUUUUUUUUUGAGAUGGAGUCUCACUCUGUCACCCAGCCUGGAGUGCAGUGGUGUGAUCUCAGUUCAAUGCAACCUCUGCCUCCUGGCUUCAAGCGAUUCUCAUGAUUCUCCUGCCUCAGCCUCCUGAGUAGCUGGGUCUAUAGGCACCUGCCACCACGCCCUGAUAAUUUUUGUAUUUUUAGUAGAGACAGGGUUUCGCCAAAUUGACCAGGCUGGUCUUGAACUCCUGUCCUCAAGUGAUCCAUCCACCUCGGCCUCCCAAAGUGCUGGGAUUAUAGGCAUAAGCUACUGCACCCAGCCUAAAGCAUGGUUCUUAAUCAGGCCCUCUCUUAAUUAGCCCAGUCAUCUCUCAACCUUAGAGAAUGGGCCAGUGCAGAGAGAGGCUGCCUUCGCAAAUUCCUCCUGCCUGGUACUGCAUAGUGCUGUCUCGCCUGAUCUUAAUUAAGCUGAUGUGUGGUUUUCACCAGGCCUUAAGCAUGUGAGUAGGAAAGAGAGUUGUAGAAAAAUGCCCUGUAUUUGGAACUGGAAAACUAGUGAAUUCCAGGGCUGUGAAUUUUGGCAAAUCACCCAGAGCCAUUUUAGGAGCCUUGAUUUAUCAUCUGUAAAAUGGGGAUAAUGACACCUUGCUCUGCCAGCAUCAUAAGGUUGACAUGAAAACUCCAUGCAGGAUGUGCUGUGUAUUUUUCCUGAUCUGAAUCAUGACCUUUUCCUGACCUUUAAUCAUGAGGAGUCUCCUUUUCAUGUGGCAUAACCCCUAUGGGCACCCAUUCCUCAGGGCUCUGCCUUAUCACCUACACAUCUUGGGGUUAUGUUGAACCCCUGUGCCCUGCCCAAGGUUAGAAGCAAAUUUGCUAUCUUCUCUGAAAAGUGCCAGACGUGGAUGGCUUGUCCUACUUGUCCUAUGACAGCAGGAGUUGCUGAGGCUUCACCUGGCAGACAGCAGGGAAAGGCAGAGCCAGGAGAGAGACUACUAGCUGGAGAAUGUGCACUGUGAAGAAUCAGGCUAACCACAGGCUUGUAACCAAAACCAUGCAUGUGUUGCAUUUGGGAUUCUGCAAGAAGUCUUGAAAUGACUAAAAAAAAAAUUGGAAGGAACUGAAGAAAUAUGGAAAAUAGAUGGAACCACACACAGUGAGGGAGGAAGAAAUGAUGGAAGAAAAGAAAGAAGUAAACUAGAAAUGCUAGGGAAAAAGGAGUUUCAAUCUUAGUACACUACUUGGCUCUGUAGAGUACAAUAUUUAUAUAGCAAUCAUGUAAAUGCCAAUUAUUGCUCUAAAUGCAGACUGUAUUGAAAUGAUGGAAGGAGGGAUAUAGGGGGGCAAAUGAUGAUGAAAAAGAGAAACUUAAAGCAAGAAGUUAAUAAUGUUAAUCAAGAAAUAGCAGUGCAUGAAUAUUGUUUGGAAAUAUGGAGAUGAGAAGUCGAGUAGAAACAGCUGAAAAGAUUAAAAGUGGUUGCUUCCAGGUUGCAGGACAGCAGUAAGACAAAGACUUUUCACCAUAUGCCUUUUGGUUCUAUUAUCUUCUUUAAAAAAAUCAUCAUUUUAUGUAGAGCAAAACAUUUUUGAAAGAGAAGUUCUGCAAAUCAUAGAACUUUGAUUUCUACACAGAAACUUGAACAUUUCCUCCAGGUCAGUCUCCUACCUUCAGGUGGGUAAACGCCCAAACUCAGGUGGCCUUUUAGAAUGUUCUGCUUGGCCCCUGAAGAAAUUGAAGAAGGAAAAAGACACAGUUUGUAUUCCACAGUGAAAGUUAUGCUUCAAAGUGACAGAGGCUUUUGGGGAACAUCACUGACUCUUGAAAGCUUGUCAUGGGCCUUCUGAGGGGUCUCCCACUGAGAUAGACAGGGUGAUUGGAGUCGUAGCCGGGAGACCCUGGUCUAGUCUUGAGCUUGUUCCUGCUUUGCUGUGAGAUGGAGCAAGUCUUGUCCUCCCUGGUUUUCAUUAAUGCCUCUGGACAAUAGGGCUUUGAGUUUUCCAAGGGCCUUUACUGCUCUACAUUUCUAGAACUAGACAGUGAUAGCAAACAGCUGUCAGAGGAGGAGAUAGACAACAAACAACUCAGCGAAUAAGAUGCUUUCAGACUGAGAGAGUGGGACGUCCGGCUUCUGAGCGGUAACCUUUGUUGCGCUAACGACGAAAAAGAAUUAAAUAUGAGUGAUGUUGAGAAAGGCAAGAGGAUUUUUUAUUCAGAAGUGUUCCCAAUGUCACACUGGGGAAAAGGGAGGCAAGCACAAGACUGGGUCUAAUCUCCAUGGUAUCUUUGGGCGGAAGACAGGUCAGGCCUCUGGAUUCACUUACACUGAAGCCAAUAAGAACAAAGGCAUCAUAUGGGGAGAGGAUACACUGAUGGAGUAUUUGGAGAAUCCCAAGAAGUAUAUCCCUGGAACAAAAAUGAUCUUUGUUGGCAUUAAGAAGAAGGGAGAAAGGGAAGACUUAAUAGCCUAUCUCAAAAAAGCUACUAAUGAGUAAUAGUUGGCCACUGCCUUAUUUAUUAAGAAACAAAUGUCCCAUGACUUUUUAUGUGUACCAUACUUUAAUAGAGCUCAUACACCAGAAUUUACAACAUGAAUGACAGAAUAUUUUGUUGGGCAGUCCUGAUUUAAAACUAAGACUGGCUUGUGGUUAAAUGAAUAUGUUCAGUUUUUGGAUUUUAAUAGUAAUUCCAAUUUAGUAAAUUCUAUCUGUUCACCCCUUCUAAAGAUAUUAGACUUCGUUAGUAAUGUCAAACUUUUCACAAAGAUAGUGAGUGCCAUCUUAAAACUUACUGGAGAUUGGUUUUAUAUUUAGAUUUAUAUAACUGGUUAUGUGAAUAUAUUUAAAUAUGGGGGAAAUUCCUUCACUGUCUCAGAACCAAGCAAGAUUCACUGUGUUUCGUGUUCAUUUGCCCUUAAAGGCAAGGGUUGAAGAUAAAUGGGUAGCAAUGGCUACUUUAUAUUUUUGGCCUUAACUAUGCCAAUCCAAUUAGAAUUCCCUGUAUUUAAAAUGGUUCCUUUUACUUGUUGAAAGGCAUUUUGUGUGGUUUACGUGUAAUAUGAAAAAUUAUUGAGCUGGGUGCAGUGGCUCAAGCCUGUAAUCCUAGCACUUUGGGAGGCCGAGGCGGGUGGAUCACGAGGUCAAGAGAUCGAGACCAUCCUGGUCAACAUGGUGAAACCCCGUCUCUACUAAAAAUGCAAACAAUUAGCUGGGCACGGUGGCGUGUGCCUGUAAUCCCAGCUACUCAGGAGGCUGAGGCAGGAGAAUUGCCUGAACCCAGGAGGUGGAGGUUGCGGUGAGCCGAGAUCGUGCCAUUGCACUCCAGCCUGGGUAACAAGAGCGAAACUCCAUCUGAAAAAAAAAUUAUUUAACACUUCACACAUUUUAUAGAUGAUCUAUAAGGUCACAUUCUUUUAAAAUAGUAGCCAAUUGAACUUCACUCUUGGAUUCUUUACAAUCUAAAUCAAACUACGUUAUAAUUUAGGAUUGUCUUUAAACAGCCAUUCAGAAACAAAACUGUACAACUGCUGUGUAUUUGUGACUGGGAAUGGUGCUUUUGCCAACUUAAAAGGAUUAAAGUAGCGGAGAUAUACACAAAUUUCAAAAUGAUUCGUGAUCAUAAGACUUAAGAUAAUUAAAAAGAAAACCACAGAUC